UCUUGAAUCUGGCUCUGACUCCAAGCCGACUCUUGAUCCGCCUGAAGAGAGCAAAUAUGUACUAUACUGUAUACUGUUUGCAUUGUACUAAAAUAUGAGUGAAAACUUCAUGAAGUAAAACAGGAUAACAAACUUAUAGCUGGCCUAUACACAUCUAUUUUUUUUCUUUUUUUUUACCUUUGGCAACUUUGGCUCCUUUUGAUUUUACCUCUGACUGUCAGUUGUAGGUUCAAUCCCAGUACUUUCAUAUACUGAAGUGGGGAAAGACCAGUUGAAUGUUACCUGCGUGUCAGAUGGUUGGUCUCCUCAGCCAACACUCACCUGGAGAGACAGACAUGGAGGAGAAAUCAAUGACAACAAAGUCUGUAAAUACACAACUGAUGCUGAUAAUCUAUUGAGUGUGAGUUCAUGGUUGCUGGUCCCUCCCUCUAACUCAGAGUGGAUCUCCUGCUUGGUGUAUUUGUCUGAUCAGGAAAUGAGAGAGAGCAAAAUGUUGCCCCAGAUCACUAGAACACAUGCAGUCACCCCACCCAACAGGUCUGGCGAAUGGAGAGCUGCAUUCAUAACUCUUUUGAAUCUGGUACUUCUGGAGUUCUCUCUACUUUUCCUGUUAAAUCGUACAGGGUAUAUCAACUUUGGAAAACAGACACAAACAGG